AUGGGUGCUCUAACGUCUCUUCUAUUUCUAAUUCUAGGAUUCUCACCCAAUUUCCUCAUUUUACAGAGGAAGAAAGAGAAGUCCAAAAGAGGCUGUGUGACAGGACUGGUGCUGAAGGUGGUGAAAGACCAGCCCCAAGAACAGCUAGCAAGCUCUGCACAGCUCCACAAUGAACAAGGGAAGAAACCCUGUCUCAAACUGAGGCUACCAUCCAGGAUGUUCCUACAAAUUAGGUUUUCCUUAACCCACAAAGCCCUGUGAAUUCUGCCCAUGUGGGUUCUGAUUUUCUCUACUGCAGUGCAUAAAUAGAUGCAUAGAUGGCCAGCAGCCUCAAGAGGAAGAAAAUUUUAUUCUCCCUGCCUUGUCUCUAUCAGGGGAGAUAAUGUACAUAUGUAGAUUUAUACAAAAUAUAGCAGCUAGGUAGUAGGAUCAAUAGAGUGACACACUUGAAGUCAGGAAGACUCGUCUUUCUGAGUUCAAACCCAGCUUUAGAGAGUUACUGUGUGACCCUGGGCAAGUCACAUAAUCAUUUGUCUCAGUUUCCUCAUAUGUAAAAUGACCUGGAGAAGGAAAUAGCAAACUACUCCAGUAUUUUUGCCAAGAAAAUCUCAAAAGGGGUCACAAAAGGUCAGACUGAAAGGCCCAAACAACUUCAACCUUAGAAAGGUGAGGAAUUUAAGACAGUACCAUCAUGACAAAUAUUAACCAUAUAGUUAUUGCAUAGUUACAUCCCUCUGCACAAUAGAGAAAUAAGAGAUGUCUUCCAGGAAAACAUUCAAGGGGAAACGAACAUAAGAAACAUGGCCAGGAGCCAGAGCAGGACACUUUAGGACAAUAGGAGCCAACAUAGGUUCUCUGGGCCAUUGGAGCUAUCUUUGUGGUCCCGUAUAGCACAAUGGAAAGACAAUAUAACUAGACAUCAUUGCUCAAGUGUCCCUUCUAUGUCAACAGUUCCAUGGAAUGUUCUUAAAGUAUUUCCCUCUGGGGUCUGGCACUGUGGUUUAGUUAUAACUAUAUAACCUCUGGGAUUUUUUUUUCUCUUGUUUAAAAAGAUAAAUAGAAGUGUGAGGAGGGAGAGGAGUCCAAAAUGGAAAUCGUAAUAAACUUGCAUGAUGAGUGAGGUUAUAUAGCA
rnacentral:lncRNA from 1 species